UACGUAGGGUGCGAGCGUUGUCCGGAAUUAUUGGGCGUAAAGAGCUCCGUAGGCGGUUUGUUGCGUCGGCUGUGAAAUCCCGAGGCUCAACCUCGGGUCUGCAGUCGAUACGAGCAAAGCUAGAGUGUUGCAGGGGAGACUGGAAUUCCUGGUGUAGCGGUGAAAUGCGCAGAUAUCAGGAGGAACACCGGUGGCGAAGGCGGGUCUCUGGGCAACAACUGACGCUGAGGAGCGAAAGCGUGGGGAGCGAACAGG
rnacentral:rRNA from 1 species